UACGAAGGGGGCUAGCGUUGCUCGGAAUCACUGGGCGUAAAGCGCACGUAGGCGGCUUUUUAAGUCAGGGGUGAAAUCCUGGAGCUCAACUCCAGAACUGCCUUUGAUACUGAGAAGCUCGAGUCCGGGAGAGGUGAGUGGAACUGCGAGUGUAGAGGUGAAAUUCGUAGAUAUUCGCAAGAACCCCAGUGGCGAAGGCGGCUCACUGGCCCGGUACUGACGCUGAGGUGCGAAAGCGUGGGGAGCAAACAGG
rnacentral:rRNA from 1 species